GACGAACGCUGGCGGCGUGCUUAACACAUGCAAGUCGUACGGUAAGGCCCUUUCGGGGGUACACGAGUGGCGAACGGGUGAGUAACACGUGAGUAACCUGCCCACAACUUUGGGAUAACGCUAGGAAACUGGUGCUAAUACUGGAUAUGUGCUCCUGCUGCAUGGUGGGGGUUGGAAAGCUCCGGCGGUUGUGGAUGGACUCGCGGCCUAUCAGCUUGUUGGUGGGGUAGUGGCGUACCAAGGCGGCGACGGGUAGCCGGCCUGAGAGGGUGACCGGCCACAUUGGGACUGAGAUACGGCCCAGACUCCUACGGGAGGCAGCAGUGGGGAAUAUUGCACAAUGGGCGCAAGCCUGAUGCAGCAACGCCGCGUGCGGGAUAACGGCCUUCGGGUUGUAAACCGCUUUCAGCAGGGACGAAGCUUUUUGUGACGGUACCUGCAGAAGAAGCACCGGCUAACUACGUG
rnacentral:rRNA from 1 species